CAGACAGACGCCCUCGUCUCUUCGCCUCCUCAUCUCGAAUCCUAAUUCCGCAGCCGCCGCAGCGAAUCGGCGACGAACGACGGCGAACUCGACACCGUUUCAUCGGGUGAAUGUUGACAUCGGCUGACCGUCCGCCAGUGCAUAAUCUUUAAUUUGCAAGUGUUGGCUCUUCCAAUCCCAGGACCAGGAAGAUAUGGAUAAAUUUUUGUUGAAAGGGAAACGACCAGCACUAGAUAGUAAUGUGGCAGGGCCUUCAAGGCCAGUUAGACCAGCACUUGAUUUGCUAUGUGGAGAAAGACAUAUUUUCUACAAUAACGAAUGACGAUGUGAUUGAUCUAUUUAAGAAGAUGAAAGAUCGAGAAGGGAAGUUAUGAAAUAAAGUUACAAAUGAAACGUUCCAAAGUCAUCCUUUUGCCUAUUAUUUCCGGAAUACGUAAAGAAGUGUUAUUUUAUGACUUUGCUCAGCCAAUACUCGCUACUCGGUUAUUUUCCGUUGUACGUACUCGCUUCAUACGUGGUCUAUGCUAUAACGAUCGGAGCACCAAUCGUUGUUCAAGGCGGUGUGUACGCGGUUGGAGCAGGUGGCUACGGAGGUUUUUUCCCAACAUGGGUGGCAGCAUAACCUCCGGAUCGAUCCACCACCACCUUGGACAUAGGCAUAGUGUCGG